AUUGAACGCUGGCGGCAGGCCUAACACAUGCAAGUCGAGCGGGGUUUUCGGACCUAGCGGCGGACGGGUGAGUAAUGCGUAGGAAGCUACCCGAUAGAGGGGGAUACCAGUUGGAAACGACUGUUAAUACCGCAUAAUGUCUACGGACCAAAGUGUGGGACCUUCGGGCCCCACGCUAUCGGAUGCGCCCACGUUGGAUUAGCUAGUGGGUGAGGUAAUGGCUCACCAAGGCGACGAUCCCUAGCUGGUUUGAGGGGAUGAUCAGCCACACUGGAACUGAGACACGGUCCAGACUCCUACGGGAGGCAGCAGUGGGGAAUAUUGGACAAUGGGCGCAAGCCUGAUCCAGCCAUGCCGCGUGUGUGAAGAAGGCCUUCGGGUUGUAAAGCACUUUCAGUAGGGAGGAAGCGUUGUGUGUUAAUAGUACACAGCGUUGACGUUACCUACAGAAGAAGCACCGGCUAACUCUGUGCCAGCCGCCGCGGUAAAAC
rnacentral:rRNA from 1 species